UUAUGGGAUUAAAUAGUGCAGUCUGGACCCUGAGGUUGCAGUCUGGACUAUGACCCUGCACUGCCUUCUGGUAAGGAGUAGGAAACUCCAUGGAACAGGUUGGGGGAUCUGCAAGAGGCUGGAGGUUCUACAGGGUAAAGACAGAGCAUGAAUGGGCAAGGGUCAGAGAGAGAGGGAGACACAGAAUCUGAAGCAGGCUCCGGGCUCCAAGGUGUUAGCACAGAGCUCGAGGCGGAGCUCCAACUCAUGGACUGCGAGAUCAUGACCUGAGCCGAAGUCAGACGCUCAACCAACUGAGCCAUCCAGGCGCCCCAUCAUCUGGGGUCAUGGAAUUGCCAUUCUUGAAACUUUUAUGACCAGCACAUGAUGCUUUGCAUUUUUGAUGGAAUAAUGACAAUUGAGCAGAUGAUUUCUCACCUCCCUUCCAGCUCCUUAAUUCUACAAAUGUCCCAAAUUGGUUGAUUGGUUACUCCAGGAGACCCUAAAGAGUAUCUAGAAGCCACAGGUAAAAUAGAAAUUUAGAACUGUUAUAAAAAGAAAAACAAAAAAGGCUUCCAGGUGAGAAUACCUUCAUUGUUUUCAUUGUCUACUUUAAAUAUCGUAUGACUUCAUCCAGAUUCAUGGUGGACCUGUGGUGGAUUACAAAUGGCUGCAAAUUCUUUGACACUCCUUUCAUUGAGAGAUGAGGUCCAUUUUCUGGCCGUUGAAUCUGGGCUGGUUUGUGACAGCCUUGAUGAAUGGAGUAUGCGUGUAAGAGACGCCAUGCAUUUCUAGAUCUUCUGUCUAAGGGGACUGGUAGCAUCUGCCUUGGUCUCUUGGGAGCCCUGAGUCAGGAUGCAAGAAACCCAACCACCGAGAGGUCUCUAUGCUGUGAGAAGCUCAAACCACAUGGGGAGAACCUGGAGGAGAAAACUCCAUUGUGGAGAGAGAAGCCAAGGAACAUUGAGGUAACGUGUGAGUGAAGAAACUAUCUUGUAGGUGGAUCAUCCUGUCCCAGCUGCCACAGCGG